AACAGGAUUAGAUACCCGGGUAGUCCACGCUGUAAACGAUGAAUACUAGGUGUCGGGCUGAAAGGUUCGGUACCGAAGCUAACGCAUUAAGUAUUCCACCUGGGGAGUACGAUCGCAAGGUUGAAACUCAAAGGAAUUGACGGGGGCCCGCACAAGCAGUGGAGCAUGUGGUUUAAUUCGAUGCAACGCGAAGAACCUUACCUAGGCUUGAAAUGCAGUAGACCGGGUAUGAAAGUACCCUUCCCUUCGGGGCUGCUGUACAGGUGCUGCAUGGCUGUCGUCAGCUCGUGCCGUGAGGUGUUGGGUUGAGUCCCGCAACGAGCGCAACCCCUACCAUUAGUUGCCAUCAGGUAAUGCUGAGCACCCUAAUGGGACUGCCUACGCAAGUAGUGAGGAAGGUGGGGAUGACGUCAAGUCCGCAUGGCCCUUACGCCUAGGGCCACACACGUGCUACAAUGGAUACAACAACGGGUUGCGAAACCGCGAGGUGGAGCCAAUCCCUCAAAUGUAUCCUCAGUUCGGAUUGGAGUCUGCAACUCGACUCCAUGAAGUUGGAAUUGCUAGUAAUCGCGGAUCAGCACGCCGCGGUGAAUACGUUCCCGGGCCUUGUACACACCGCCCGUCAAGCCAUGGAAGCCGGGGGUACCCAAAGCCAGUGUCCUAACCGCAAGGAGGGAGCUGUUUAAGGUAAAACCGGUGACUGGGGCUAAGUCGUAACAAGGUAACCAAGUCGUAACAAGGUAACC
rnacentral:rRNA from 1 species